AAAGCUGCGGCGUCAGCCAGUGGAGGGGGGCCGAAGUUGGCCCGAGUCCAACAAAGUCAUCUCUCCUAAUCCAUUGCAGCUGCCCUUCAAGCUUCCUGGCGACUGGCGACAGCGGUGAGUGGGCUGCAUCCAACCUGUAAAUUUCGACGGAGCCAACACGAGCGAUCACACCACCUUGGCGGGGUUCUGACUCCGUUGUUGCACCCUGUCCUUAGUUU
rnacentral:lncRNA from 1 species